CCUACGGGUGGCAGCAGUGGGGAAUAUUGGACAAUGGGGGGAACCCUGAUCCAGCGACGCCGCGUGAGUGAAGAAGUAUUUCGGUAUGUAAAGCCCUAUCAGCAGGGAAGAAAAUGACGGUACCUGACUAAGAAGCACCGGCUAACUACGUGCCAGCAGCCGCGGUAAUACGGAGGAUGCGAGCGUUAUCCGGAUUUAUUGGGUUAAAAGGGUGCGCAGGCGGAAGAUCAAGUCAGCGGUAAAAUUGAGAGGCUAAACCUCGUCCAGCCGUUGAAACUGGUUUUCUUGAGUGAGCGAGAAGUAUGCGGAAUGCGUGGUGUAGCGGUGAAAUGCAUAGAUAUCAAGCAGAACUCUGAUUGCGAAGGCAGCAUACCGGCGCUCAACUGACGCUCAUGCACGAAAGUGUGGGUAUCGAACAGGAUUAGAUACCCCUGUAGUC
rnacentral:rRNA from 1 species